GAGAGUGACCUGUCCCCUCUGGCUCCCCUAGGGAAGAAAAAGAGCUCUGGAUACGCGCCAAGUACGAGCAGAAGCUCUUCCUCGCCCCUCUGCAGUGCCUGGAGCUCUCUCUGGGCCAGCACCUCCUGAGGGCCACGGCCGAGGAGGACUUGAGGACGGUGAUCCUGCUGCUGGCCCACGGCACGCGCGACGAGGUCAACGAGACCUGCGGCGACGGCGACGGGCGCACGGCCCUGCACCUGGCCUGCCGCAAGGGCAACGUGGUGCUGCUGCAGCUCCUCAUCUGGUACGGCGUGGACGUGAUGGCGCGCGACGCCCACGGGAACACGGCGCUGGCCUACGCCCGGCAGGCCUCCAGCCAGGAGUGCAUCGAUGUGCUGCUGCAGUACGGCUGCCCCGACGAGCGCUUCGCCCUCAUGGCCACCCCAAACCUGUCCAGGAAGAACAACAACCGCAACAACAGUGGCGGGAGGAUGCCCACCAUUAUCUGAGGGGAGCGCCUUGGCUGAGCCCGGCGGCGGCCGCAGCCUCACAUUCCUCCAUCGCCAUCGCAGCUCCGCUCUGUGAGUCCGCUCCUCUCCUCCUCCUCCUCCCUUUUCCCUGCGUCCAUCCCGAGUGCCAGCGGAGCGCGGGGGGCCCGGGAGGAGCGCGGGGGCUGCGGGCAGGCCCUGGGUUUGGGGGCCAUGCCGGGCAGGCCCUGGGUUUGGGGGCCGUGCCGGGUGGCACCGGCACCGCGGGGAGAGGCGAGCCGGAGCGGAAGGAAGGAAAGAAAGAAGGAGAGAAGGAAGGAGAGACGGUGACUUUCCCUAAGUGACAGUGAAGCACAUCAGAACAUUUCACCUCUGCGGCGCCUGGAUUUCCAUUCUCUUCUCCCGAAGAGCUUGACGGCAUAAAUCAGAAGCAAGCACAGAGUUUGUCAGGUUUGAAGCUCCUAUGAUGGUAUGUGUCAAAUCAGUUGUAGCUAAUCUGUCCGGGGAGAAUACUGGCUUCAUUACACUUGUAUAGUUGAGUUCUUCCAGCAUUACUGCUGUUUAAUAGAACAUGAUUAGUCAUCACGGAGAAAAAAGCAUAUUAGCUGAGGAGGUAGUUACAUGGCACGCUUCGGUGAUUGCUUGGAUGUGAUUGCAAUAUUCUUAGAAGCAUCAUAUUAUCUCAGACAUGUUCUUUCGAGCCCUUGGAGCCCUCCUUUCUAAAUUCACUGUCAUAAUUUAGUAUCUGUUUAAUUUUUCAGUCCAAAGAGAGGAAAUGAGUUGCUGAGUGUUAUUUGACUGCAGUCUCCUUGGUGUAAAAACAAAAUGGAAAAAAUAAAUAAGGGUAAGCCUGAAACACAAAAAGGAAUAAUGAAUACCGCUGUGGAAAACAACAUUUCAAGUACGUUUGGUGAAAUUAAUAAAUGCAUUAAAGGCUAAUUUUUUUUUUAUUUUUUUUUUAUGUUUUCAGCCAGCAGAAAUAGGUUCUGUCAUUUUGCCAAGGUAAAUUGUGUUGAGUUUUUUGGUCACUCCUGUGAUGCAUUGCCUAACUUAUACAGAUUUUUGUAUUGUGUCUCUAGAUUCUAUGUAUUUAAAAUCUAUUUGAAUAAAAAAAAGGACCGUAAAUAUACAUUGAUUUUUUUUUGUACAGAAAAUUACAUCUCUGUUAAUUUAUAAACUGUAAUGGAUGUGAACUAAAUAAUGUGCAACUAGUUAGGAUCUGUGGGUUACAGAUCAUUAUUGUACAUUGAUAAUAUUCCCAGCAGUGAACACUUCUUUCCAAAGCCUGUGAGGAACAACAUAUCAGAAGGAGAUCAGGGAAGGAAAAAAAAGCAUUUAGGAAGGAGAAAAGAGGCUGUUCCUCAGCACUGUAAAUAUAUUUUACUCCAGAAGUCAGGAAGCUUUCAGAAGCCAAGACAAAAAGGCCCAUUCUGGCUGGGGGAAGAUCAGAUUUGAUUAAGUUCAGAAUUGAUAGCCUUCAGCACGGCGGGCAGGGCUGCUUUUGGCUAGAAAAAUGGCUUGUGCAAGUGCCCUGGACAGUUCCUUUCAAUUCCAACUUUUAAUACCUGAUUGGGCCAUUUUGGUCUUGCAUCCCAGCUUCUCCUGCCUCCCACUAGCAGCAUUCUGGUGUGGGGAAGCAGAGGUUUUGGCAGGCAGAAAAGUGAUUUUUUUGUUGUUUUUCUUUAGAAGUGGCUUAUGGCAGUGUGGGGAUGGGGGCAUGGUUUAUCAUGGGGAAAGUUGAAAACUCAACUGAAUUGGAUGUCAAAGGAACAAUUAUGUGAAGGCAGAGAGGUGCACACAGCAGGGCAAUUUGCAACCUGCUCCUGUGUAUUUCCCAAGCCUUUGGUGGUGCUCUUCCUUGGGGCUCUGGGUUUCACUCAGCACACAAAUGGGAGGAGCAGUUGCUGAAUAAACUGAAUGUGGAAAAAAUGCAAAGGAAGAAAUGCCAUGUGGUUAUCUUAAGGAAAACCAAAAAAAUGAAAAAUUAUGGAUUUGAGGCAAAAUUGUGGCUGAAAAACGAGCCUUGAGGUGGCAGCACAGGGAUAUUGACCAGCUUCUCCUCUUUGGUGGUGUUGUCCUUUUAUACUUUGUUGUAUUCUAGACCUUUGAGUAUCUGGGGGAGGGAAUCUUUCUCCAGCCAGCCAAAGCUGACUGCACCAGACACAGCUGAUUCCCUUCCCCCUGGGAUACUUCUAAAUAUUUGAAUUUUCAUUUUUUUUUUUUAAUUCAGAAAAGGUGUCCGUCUGAACUGCCAUUUCUCCACCAUUUCUGACAUUUGGUACUCGGAGGUGGUCCCUCAGGGAGGGGACAGCCCAGCUGAUGUGGGAUGCUGUGAAACCCCCUCUGUGUGCUGGUGCUCAGGAGCUUUGCCACAGCAGGGAUUCAGGAAUGGCAAUCCCAGAGGUGCUAGAGCUCCCCCCAGGAGCAUCCAGGGCAUUUGUAUCCCAAAAAACCAAGUCCAGUGUUUCAAACCCAGGGUUCAAAGUGCACAUUCCUUUUCAGAGCUGUUUUUGUUUUUUUUUUCCUUAAUUGAGAUGAUUUUCUGUACAUUGUUUAAUGCUCUCUUUGGGCCACCUUCCUCUGACAAGGCUGAGGGUGAUGCUUGAGAAACAAGGGCAACCAGGCAGAUUGCAGGAGGACAAAUUUCAUGGUCCUUUCCUAAAAAUCUUCUGAGGCCAACCCUUGAAAAAGCACAGAAUAUUUUUAGGAGAGGAAAUUCCAGUCUAUUACAGGAAAAAUUAUGCAUCCAGGCAAGCCAAGUGCUGCUUUAAUUAAGUGGUAGCAUGGUUGCUUUUAACCUAAAUGUGGUUUUCCCCUAAGUGUUGGCAUAACUGUGUUGAAGCAGUGUGGAUGUGGGGUCUGUGGGGAGAAUUCCCAGCCCUGCAGGUGGCAGAGCUCCCUUGGAAGGUCAGGAGAUCCCAGAAUAUCCUGAGCUGGAAGGGACCUGCUGGCUGAGGGAGCCAGGGCUGUUGUCACCAAGUCACUCCUGGCAGGGAGUGCAGGAAGCUCUCCUUGGCUGGAUCCUGGUGGGGCUUGGCUUGGAGAGCUCCCAGGCUUGUCAGGGGAUGUGUUUGCACUUUGCAGAGGCUGCUCCCGGAGCCAUCCAGGGGCAGAAUCAGGCAAGGCCCCCUGGCACUUGGAGAUUCCACAGGAAUCAUGGUUCCCGAUGCUUUCACUCCAUUCUCCCGCUCCUUGGCUCAUUGUUUAGCCACUCUUGUUGCUUGUUUGGAACCCUCACACCUUUGGAGCAUGUUGGGAACAAAACAAGCCCUAGCUGUGACCCAGUCCAUGAGAAAUCCCAGCAGAAACCUGGCAGGCAGAGCUGUUUCCUCUGGAGGCUGUGGCAGUGGUUGGCAUUGCACCCCCAAACCCUUCCCCUCGCCCCAGAUUCCUUGCAAUCCCCUUCCGCUGCACUUUAUCCAUGACUAAAACACUAGGAGCAGCUCAGCCACUGGUGUUUCCAUAUUUCCUCCUCCCUUUGGCUAAUUGCUGUGGAAUUCAGUUGGAUGUGUCACAGCUGAGCCUGGAUAUUGCCAGGACAGUUCCCUUCUUUCUCCUUGUUCUUCAUGAAGGAAAAAGACCCAACCAUGGGAAAAUUCUGCCCUGAAGGCAGAGGUUUGGCCAAGGGCUCCCAUUGCCAGAUUUCCAAUUUUGGUGGUUAAAAAAAGGAGCAGGGGAAAGAAAGGAAAGCUUGGAGAACCUUGUUGCUGCUGGGAAAGCCGGGUGAGCUCCUGGAAGGUGGAGAGGAUUUUGAAGCAUUUGGGUGCAGUGUAAAAUAACUGUGUAAACAUUGUUUAAUUCACUGUCUUGUCCCCCUUCCCUUAAAUUAUGUGUGUUAGUGCAAGAAGAAGCUUUAGCUGCACUUGGAGAUUUGCCUGGGCCAGAGAAGGCAGAGUCAUGUGGGGAGAGGAGCGGAGGUGGGAGCGCAGGUCCGGGUGUGGAAAUGAUCUCCGGCACUGUAAUGUAGAAAAAUUAGAGUCUAUGGGGUUGGAAUAGCUUCAGCUUUUAUAUUUGUAUGGAGAUCGGGAGAAAUGAAGUAAUUUGUAGUUUCUAGUUCAGAGUAGUGGUAGUGGAGACAAGCACAGAUUUCACAAGGGGGUCCCCAAGGGGCCCUUCCCAAACGUCUCGGGGAGCCGCCUUUGCACCUUAACAGGGAUGGUUUGUGGGGUUUGUUGUUGGUGAAAUGGUCAUUUCAUGUUUGGUUACGUGGUUCUUGUCAGAGGGGGGACUCGAGGGCAGCGUUGGGGACCAAACUUUGGGGCAGCUUGGCUGGAGAGGAGACAACUUCCUCAUCCUCAUCUCACUGUCAGGCAUCUUCCUUCCCCCUUAGGGGGCUGCUGCAGCAAUCCCGUCCUUAGGUGGGAUCUCUGCCUGUGGACCCUCAGUUCCACACCUUCCAUUCUGGAUGGUUUGUGGGUAAAAUUGACUGCACAGAAAAGCCAGGUUUGGAUAUUCUUGUGUUUGCUGCACAAGAGGGAAAAAAACCCAAAACUGCUCCAGAGUAAAGUUCUUUUCAAGGCAAAAAAGAAACACUGAACUACCCCAAAUCAAGAGGUUCUGCAGUGAGUUUUGAGUUCUAAGCUACCAAAAGAAAAGGAAGGUUGGCUUGAACGGUUUUAUUGGAAAAUAAUAAUAGAGGUCGUAGAGCAAAACAUCCAGAGCUGUAGAUGGGUGGAUUUGUUGGUUUAGGAUAUUUGUAGGUUUUGCUUUGUUGUUUAGCAUGGGCCAGUUUUUACAGUAAAUAUUGGGACAGUUUACCUUGACUUGAUUGAGUCUGUCCCACAUUUUAAAGGGAGUUUUGAGGGCUUUUGGCCAGGAUUGUCAGGAGCUGUGAAUAGUUCACGUUUAGAGAGGGGAAUUGCAUGAUUUCUGAAAAGUAAAAGGUCAGUCUGGGGUUUUUUUUAGGGCCAUCUUCAGCCCCAAAUUGCCAAGCAUGUUUCUGGCCCCAUGUUUCAUUUCAGGGUGACAGCAGGAUGUGGGUGAAUGAACUCCCAUCGUUUCCUACCAUGUUCAAGGGGGAGGAUUUUGCUUGUGGGUGGAUAAAAUAAAGCUGUCUUUGUGCAUUUCAGCAGUUUUAACCUCUUCAUCUCCCCGUGCCUGCCUGCACCCCAAACCCCUGUGGCACAUUGGGUUCUGUGGGCAGGCAGAGCCUCAGCUUCCCCUCAGCCAUGGAUUUUCUGGAUGUGGUUUAUUUUAGCUUCCAGUGCUAGGGCCCGGCUGUUUUGCAGUGCUUCAGAGCUACUCAUUUUCCCAUCUGUGUGUUGUGUACAGGGUGUGAGGGGGGUGGGUGGGGGGCACCUCAGAGGUCUCAUGGCAUGCCUUGGGGAUGGUGGCACCUUGCUUGCUGGCACUGAAUGCUCCCUGCUCCUCCCCUCUUUCCAGAACUGAUCCGUGUGGGGGUUUUGUGUUUCCUGAAGUAGCUGAAAACACUUCCCUGGUGUUCAGGAAUUGCAGGGCACGAGGAGGAAAACCCCUCACAGAGGGAGUUUAUCCACAUCUCUUCUGUGCCCCAAAGCCCAGACUCCUCCUGCAGGGCCAAAGAAGGGUUUGUGUGCUGAAUGUGGGGGUUUGGCAUCUGCAUCCCAAAUGUAGGGGUUGAGCUGAGUUGAACUGGUGGGUGAGGUGCAGCCAGGGUGUCCUGAGCCCUCAGGUGUCACCUGGAGGUCACUUUGCACUUGCUGUGUGUGUGUGAUGGUGUCACAGAGCUGUCAGGGACUGUGGGAAUGCCCUAAUCACCGCCAGGAGCAGGAGCCAGCCUCUGGAUGGGAAUUUAUCCCAGCUGGAGUCACACCAGACACUGGCUGGAAGGAUGGAGAGGUGCAGGGAGAUGAGCUCCAGGCUUGCUGCAGCCUCAGGGGUUUUCCAAAAAUCCAACUCCCUCAGGCAGCAGCACUCAGCUUGAGAAAGCCUUGAGCUUGGCCUGCAGGGCUGGCGGGGAGACAUCCUGCCUUGCUGGAGAGGGGAAAUCCCUCUGGCCAGCCCUAGGGGUGGGAAGCUCCAGGGAAGGAGAUCCUGAAGGUAGAAGGGACAGAGUGGCAUUCCAGAGGCUCUUUUAAAUACCAGUUUGCUUGAGACCCAUCUUUCUGGCUGAACCUGGCUGUGGGACCAGUGAGCUGUCAGGGAUUGAGCAGCACUCAGGGUCCUGCUCCCUUGUGGGGCUGUUGGGGAGAUGUUUCCAAGGGAGAUGUUCUAAGAGCUGUCUCCAGCUCCUCAUCCCUCCCUCCAGGUGUCCUUGGCCGUGACUGGCUCCAGAAUUUUGCAGUGGGGGUGUCACAAACCUGGGGUGCCGCAGGCUGGGAGGAGCUGAGCCAGCCUUGCUGCCACCACCUCUGCCCUGGCUGUGCUUCCUUGUCCUUCCACAGGGAGAGGGCAGGAAGGAGCUGUGGGGAAAAAUUAGAGGAUCUUGGAAACAAUGGGAGGAUCUUGCCUUUCCCGCUCCUUCAGUUCCUUGGAAGUGCUGUUAAAACCCCCGUCCAGUGUUUUUUCCUGAGGUAAGCAGGGGCUCAGCUGGAUUCUCCAUGGAAUCUGCUGAGGAGAAGAGGAUGUGCCCAUCAUGUGCUAGUCCCAGGUUCCCUCUUGCUGUGUCACUGUCAGGAGCCCCUUUCACUGGUGGCUGCAUGUGGGUGCACAGGCUGAGGGGGCUUUGGGGCAGGAGUGUCCCCCAAAACACCAGGGACUCCUUUGGUGAUAUUCCUGACUCUUGGAACGGCCAAGGGCUCGGAUCUGCAGCUCCUGCUGCCUUAAAACCCCCGGGCUUCAGCAGGAUUUGAGCAUCUCCCAAAAGCUUGGCCCAGCCCUGAGCAGCAGAUUUUGUGUUCAGCCCCCAAAUCCUCCAGGUCCUUCUGCUUUGUGGUGUUUGUCUGUCCAGCUGAGUAGGGAGGGAGCCCAGGUGAGCAGGGGACACCUGCCUGCGGUAGAGGCAGGAGGUACCCGGCACAUGGCAGGCUUCAUAGCAAGGUUUGGGUUGUUGGGGUUUGGGUUUAUUUUUGUUUGUUUUCUGUUUCUGUAAAUAAUAAUGUAUAAAUGAUGAUGAGACGGUGUGGAAAUUCUAAAAAAAAAAAAGAAAAAAAGGCAAAAAAAAAAAAGGUCUUUUGUUGUUGUUUUUAUAUUACCUCAUCCAGCAAGUUUGUUUUACAAUGACUCGAUGAUGCUUUAUUUAUAUUGUUUGUACUGUAAUUAAACCAAUUGACAAACAUUUCACUUUGCUUGUUGUUUCCUAUUAUUUGGGUUUGAUUAAGUAUGCCAGUUUGUAUUAUGUUCCCCCUUCCUCUCUCUCUCUCUCUACACGUCGAGAUUUUUUGUGUCAGCUGUACAGUAUUCUGAAUAAUUAAAAAUAAAAGUAAAAAUUAAAAAAAAAGGAACAAAAAAGCUGUAAAGUACUGCAGAGAGAGGCUGCUAUAUUGUAUAGGUCUCUUUCUAAUAAAGACAAGAAAACUUGUUGGUUGCA